AGAACCACAGGAACUUAUGGGACCCCUUCUACUUUAACAUGGAGGUACUUUCUGUGACUAAAAAAAAAGUAAGUGCUUCCAUGUUUUGGUAGGAGUGACUCCUGUUCUCUUUCACCGAAUUC
rnacentral:precursor_RNA from 12 species